UACGGGGGGGGCAAGCGUUGUUCGGAAUUACUGGGCGGAAAGGGCUCGUAGGUGGCCAACUAAGUCAGACGUGAAAUCCCUCGGCUUAACCGGGGAACUGCGUCUGAUACUGGAUGGCUCUGAGUUUGGGAGAGGGAUGCGGAAUUCCAGGUGUAGCGGUGAAAUGCGUAGAUAUCUGGAGGAACACCGGUGGCGAAGGCGGCAUCCUGGACCAACACUGACGCUGAGGAGCGAAGGCGUGGGGAGCGAGCCGG
rnacentral:rRNA from 1 species